rnacentral:rRNA from 1 species
AUUGUUGCACAAUGGAGGAAACUCUGAUGCAGAGUCGCCGCGAGAGUGAUGAAGGUCUUCGGAUCGGAAUACCCUGUCCUUGGUGUCGAUAAUGACGGUAGCUGAGGAGGAAGCCCCGGCUAACUAUGUGCCAGCAGCCGCGGUAAUACGUAGGGGGCUAGCGUUGUCCGGAUUUACUGGGCGGAACGGGUUAGUAGGCGGUUAUGUAUGUCAGAUGGAAAAGGCGUGGGCUUAACUUACGUUAGCAUUUGAAACUGCAUAACUUGAGUGCGGGAGAGGUAAGUGGGAGUCCUAGUGUAGCGGUGAAAUGCGUAGAUAUUAGGAGGAACACCAGUGGCGAAGGCGACUUACUGGACCGUAACUGACGCUGAGUCACGAAAGCGUGGGUAGCAAACAGG